AUUGAACGCUGGCGGCAUGCCUUACACAUGCAAGUCGAACGGCAGCACGGGGCAACCUGGUGGCGAGUGGCGAACGGGUGAGUAAUGCAUCGGAACGUACCUUUCAGUGGGGGAUAACGUAGCGAAAGUUACGCUAAUACCGCAUAUUCUGUGAGCAGGAAAGCAGGGGAUCGCAAGACCUUGCGCUGAUUGAGCGGCCGAUGUCAGAUUAGCUAGUUGGUGAGGUAAAGGCUCACCAAGGCGACGAUCAGUAGCGGGUCUGAGGGGAUGGUCCGCCACACUGGAACUGAGACACGGUCCAGACUCCUACGGGAGGCAGCAGUGGGGAAUUUUGGACAAUGGGGGCAACCCUGAUCCAGCCAUGCCGCGUGAGUGAAGAAGGCCUUCGGGUUGUAAAGCUCUUUCGGCCGGGAAGAAAUCGCACGGGCUAAUACCCUGUGUGGAUGACGGUACCGGAAUAAGAAGCACCGGCUAACUACGUGCCAGCCGCCGCGGUAACAC
rnacentral:rRNA from 1 species